UGUGCUGCUGCUGCUGCAGGCUUUUCUCACCUUUCCCCAUUUGCAGAGCAUCUGGGACUCACACACUGACACACACAACAACAAGAAGGGCAACAAGGGCACCAAGAGAAGAAGAAGAAGAAGAAGAAGAUGAAGAUGGAAGAAGAUGUGAGAGACAAGUGUUCAUGGCUACCCAACGUUGAGAAGAAGCAAAGGCUGAAAAAGAAAGGGGGGUGACAAGGAGCAUAAAGGUUUAUGAGAGCACUAGGGGCUGUGAGUUUAUUUGUCGACUGGCAUAUGGGGGCUCGAUUCUUGCUGACGCUGUACACCUUUCUUUGUGGUCGGAUUGUGCUACAUUCUAGCUCAUUCUCUCCCAUUUUCGCUUUAUUUUUUGCACACAAGGUUGGGAAAACAUUGGGUGCACACCAUAAGUACAGCCCAAUAAAUCUUCUCUAAUUAGUAUCCUCGGCAAGUCAGCCCAUGGUCAGUUACAAGUGUUGAAUUCAUUGUUCGGUUACAAGUGUCCCGAGCUUACUCGGAUAAUGUUGAGACCGUUGUGGUUUAUAUUGGCUCUAGUAGUAAACUAGUCAUUUAAUCUUUUAAGCUUGAACUAAAGAAUUUUAUUCAACUUUAGUUCUAGAUAUGAAAGAGCAUAGAGUACAGUUGAAAACUAAGAACCCUAGCCUCGCUCUCACACCGCACGAGGUUGGGCUAGGUUUUGACGAAGUCCCCUCUCGUCCGGCGGCGCUCAACGUAAGUGCUGGCUUUGCCUUGCCAACGUUGUAUUGCUGCCGGAUGGGUGAUGUUGGUAUAUGGUCCUUUUAGCUUUUGGACUGGCUUCGCUUGGGGUGUGGGCAGUGGGUUUCGGUGCUGGUCUGGUUCGGAGCUUCUUUGAGGUGAGGCUGUUGUUCCGUUCUCUCAUCCAGGCAUUGGUCGGCAACGAGGGCGACUUCAAGGAGUUCUACUAGUAGCUUGAAGUGCAAGUGAUCCAAAUCGAUCGGUUUUGGGUUUGGCUGUGUUGUUAUAAGUUUGUCGGUGCCUCUUGGUGGUGGUCAUGGCGACGCAACGUCUGUGGUGUGCAUGUGACGACACUAUUUCAGGAAGGUGAUGGCUGGAUCUGGGCCGACCCAAGUCUGCUGGGCCUUGGGUGCUACUAUGCUUUUGGG